rnacentral:lncRNA from 9 species
GUGAGACAUAUUAUCUAAUAAAAAUCAUGCAAUCUAGCUUGUUCACUUUGUAACGUAUAAUAACUGGAAGUUGAUCAAAGAAAACUACUUUCAUUUUCAUUACUACAUUGUUCCUAUUUUUAUGAACAAAAUUUAAAAUGUAUGAUAAAAAUCCAAUAUACGGUAAUUGAAACAUACAGUCUGACCUCACAUUGCUCUGAUAAAUCUGUUCAUUUCUGGCCAUUUUCAGUGUUGCUAUAGUGAACAGUGUUGACAAGGGGAUGAAAAAAAGCUUAUAAAUGGAAUUUUGAUCAUAGAUAAAGCUGAACAUAAACUAUCUCCCAACAUUUCUGCAUGUUGGGAGGCCCGGUUUGUGCCACAGAUGGCCAUCUCCCAAUAAUACAUAAAACAUUUCUUGUUGGAGCUCGGCACAUGUUGUUGAAUGCACAGGUCAUCUGAACAGAACAAUAAUUCAAUUCACUUAAUAAUGACCUCACUGGGAACAAACACAGACACACGAUGAUGCUGUUAGAAGAACAAAACCAUACUAGAGUUUUAAAAAUGAAAUUCUUAAAAAGUCGCCAUGCUCUUGUGAAAAUAGCACUUAAAUAUAUUCAGUGUUUAGCGACCAGGCAGGCUCACUGAGUUUAUUUUAGGCUCUUGAAUUUUACUGCAGUGUCGCUGCCAUGUUUUCUCCAUUUUCAGGCUGGUAGCUUUCCUGGAAAGGUCAGUGGUGCCCACUGAACCCUCUAUUGGCUUAUUGGCUGAGCUCAUUGAUGAAGAAGCCUUGAGUACAUCAUUUUUUCUUCUCAAAGAGCUGAGAUGGCAGUCCAUGAAGAAUGACUGCAGAAAGUUUCAGAAGGACACAUGGGAAUCAUUUAACCAGACCAAUAAAACCUGCUAUUUAUAUUACAAGCUAACCAUCACCUGGAAGGAAGAAAUGUUGGGCAUGGCACUAACUGAUGUGUAUAUUUACCGUGAAGUUUACCCCAGGUGAAAAGAGGAAACCAGCUGUGUGAAUGGAAUUUGGAGAAAGGGCACAACCAUCAGACGAAGUGGGAGGAAGAAACAUUAACUUCAACAGCUGUUUCUUGACCCCGGCUGUCAGUCUUCCCAAGAAUAAAUUUUGGAGAGUCCUAUUUGAAACAAAGAGGGAGUUUUGGGGGAGAGAAAAGUUGGUUGGUUCCAGGGCGACCGCCCAAAGGAGCUGGGAACAAGAUGUUGGCAGUUACCACGCAGCCUGCCUGCCUCUGCCGGGUGCAGAGAUGGAGCAAAGUAACUUGAAAGCUCCCCUCUCGGCGCCCUGUGCCUGCAGCUUCCCCCCCUAACGCGCGCCCAGAUCCAGCGCCGGUGGUAAGAGCCGUAGCUCGACUACAGUAAUUCCCCAGCUCGGGCGGCUUGAAACUGCUCGGGCUGAAUAGCAUUUGCUGUUCCGUCCUGUGGCCGCCUCCCGCCGCCGCUGCCGCGCUCCCUGCAAAGCAGCUCUCAUUAUCCCGGAAGUUGUGCUGACACAGUCUCGCUGCCACCAGAAGUUUGUCAACAUCAAACUUCUCCUGUGUGGGGUACGUUCACCUUCCACGAGUAUUUAAUCGAGCCAACAAGCAAACAAACAAACCCAAAUAAACCUGCCCGUGAUGUCAUGGUCUUUUUUUUUUUUUUUUUUUUUUGCUUUUGCUUUCCUGGAAGGCUGGGGCUGUUAGGAAUUUGCUGGUGGGCGCUCAGAGCGCCGGUAGGUUUCUGGGGAAGAUAAGGGACAGCCCCCGGAUGGGAAGCGGGGAAGGGACCGAGGAGGGCGUGGGGGAUGUUGGUGUUAGGGGAAGGGGGCUGGGAGCCCGGGCCAGGGUCAGCGAAUUUGUCCUGCAGCCUCUUGCCCACCGCUGGGUUGGAGGAUGCACGGACCGGGGCGAAGGUUGUUUCUUUGCGGGCCCACCCCUCAGCAAAGAUUACUUGGACGCCGUGGCUGGGCACUUAACGGCGGGAGGGGGGCGGGGGCUGUCUACACUCCCUCUGCGUUGUGAACUCCUGCUGGACAGUUCUACAAACACCUCUCGGGGGCUAUCGGAAUAAAGGGCAUUAGGGUCAUAAAAUGUAUUUGGAGGCUUCGACUGCAACAUAAAAGAAAUUCCUGCGAUAUGAGGGCAGGGGCGCACCACCUUUUCUGUCUCUGAUGAGUCUGUUCAGAUACCUUGAUAAAACCAUUUCGUCUAAACCGACUCCUUUCCCUGAGCCAAGUCUGCAGGUUCAGAGUUGCUGCUACCCAGCUUGGGUGUUUGUGGUUUCCAGUCGCUUCCCUGCUGAGAUACUCUGGCUCUGCGGGGGGGCGGGGGAGGAGGGCGGAGGGAGGAGGAGGAAGAGGAGGAUUCUGAUUAACCCUUUCCAUUCCGUAGUUUUAUCUGGGCACCUUUAAUCCUUCUCAAACUGGAGAGGACAAGGCCUGACUUGCUGAGUUGUGACGUAGGCAUUCAGGAUUUGGUGGCAUUUGAGGGCCACAGGUUUUUGUGGAGGAGUUGGAACUCAGACG